rnacentral:rRNA from 1 species
UACGUAGGGGGCGAGCGUUAUCCGGAUUUAUUGGGCGUAAAGCGUGCGUAGGCGGUUUGUUAAGUCCAGAAUUAAAGCCCGAGGCUUAACCUCGGUUCGUUCUGGAUACCGGCAGGCUUGAGUAUGGUAGAGGCAAAUGGAAUUCCUAGUGUAGCGGUGAAAUGCGUAGAUAUUAGGAGGAACACCAGUGGCGAAGGCGGUCUGCUGGACAGCAACUGACGGUGAGGCGCGAAAGCGUGGGGAGCAAACAGG